AUUUUCUUUUUUUAGGAUAUUUUUAGGAUUUUCAACAGUGUGUUGUUUUUUUUUUUUUUUAAUUUUUUCCUGGUUGAAAUUUAAACUAGAUAAAAAUGUUAUACUAUGUUGCACAGAAACCGAAACGUGGAAGUGUGGAAACGUGGGGAAAAUGCGUAAAUAUGAAAAGUAUAGGGUUUUAUUUAUAAAAUACAAAAAAAUAAAUUAUUAUAAAUCAUUAAAUAUAUUCAAUAACAAGUCAAGUCCAAUCAAUAUUUAAUGAUAUCCAAAAGAAUUACAAGUUUCAUACUCAUAAAAAAUAUAUGUUUUAUGAAUCUGUAUUUAUUUAUGUAUUUAUUUUAAUUAAGAAAUAAGCUUUUGAGUUUAUGGAAACAUAUUUCGAGAGCGGAAAAGCGUUUCCAAAUUAUUCAAUUUACAGAAAUGGCCCCGAAACGUUUCCGUGCAAGAAUCAUUUCUGAAACAUAGAUGUUUUAUGUAGUAUUCUUUUUGAUUGCCCUGUCUAGGGUGUUCCUUCCUUUUCUUCCUUUUUUUUGCUCCCAUGAGAGUUCCUUUAUCCUUACGUCUGUUAGAUGUGCAAGAAAAGAAAGAGCUCUUACUUGAAAAGCAAUUAGAGCAAUCAAUCUGGAUAAGAGAA